GAGAGUUUGAUUCUGGCUCAGGACGAACGCUGGCGGCGUGCCUAAUACAUGCAAGUCGAACGAACGGAUUGAGGAGCUUGCUCUUCAAGAAGUUAGUGGCGGACGGGUGAGUAACACGUGGGUAACCUGCCCUUCAGCGGGGGAUAACAUCCGGAAACGGGUGCUAAUACCGCAUAGUUUCUUUUUCCGCCUGGAAGAAGUAGGAAAGAUGGCCUUUGUGCUAUCACUGAGGGAUGGACCCGCGGCGUAUUAGUUAGUUGGUGGGGUAAUGGCCUACCAAGACGAUGAUACGUAGCCGACCUGAGAGGGUGAUCGGCCACAUUGGGACUGAGACACGGCCCAAACUCCUACGGGAGGCAGCAGUAGGGAAUCUUCCGCAAUGGACGAAAGUCUGACGGAGCAACGCCGCGUGAGUGAAGAAGGUUUUCGGAUCGUAAAACUCUGUUGUCGGAGAAGAACAAGUAGGAGAGUAACUGUUCCUACCUUGACGUACCCGACCAGAAAGCCACGGCUAACUA
rnacentral:rRNA from 1 species